AGUUGAUGCAACGCGAAUCCUAGCCAGAACGAGAGGUGCACGACAACGCUGACCUGCAUCGCGCGCACGUCCUCCCCCUCGGCACCCACCCUCAGCGUCCUCCUCCCGCCGCCGUCGCCGCCGCCGCUCUUCGCCUUGGCCGCCUUCUGCUCGACCACCACCACCUCCUUCCUCACCUCGACCUCCUCCUCCACCACCAGCGGUGGCCUGGGCGCCGCCGCCGGCGGAGGCGGCGGCGGUGGCACCGCCGCAACAGCGGGCGAGGGUGCUGGUGACGCCACUGCGGCGUCGACGGACGGGAGGGGGAGCGGGCCCGCCUCGACCGUGCCGAGGCGGAGGCGGAGCGCGGCAAUCUCGGCGAGGAGGGACUCGCGCUCGGCGCGCCACCGCGACUCCUCCCGGAGCCACCGCUGCUCCUCCCGCAGCCAGCGCUGCUCCUCGCGCAGCCACCGCGCCUCCUCGCGCUCCUCCCACGACGACGCCGAGCACCGGAGGACCACAACCCGGCGCGGGAGGCCGCCGGGCCUGAACCGCGGGCGGUGGAACGAGGGGAAGAACGGGAUGGUGGCGGUGGCAACGAUCAUGGCGGAGGAGGAGACGGCGGCGCUGAGCUGCCGCUUGCGAGGAGUGAGGAAGUGGCGCGCGGCGAGCAGAGGAGAUUAGCCGCGGAUAUUUCUCGCUGUCCCGCGGUUGAUUUUUCUUCCCCGCGGAGCGUUUAGCCUGCGAGAGGCGAGAGCAACGUGCGUGCGGCCUACAGGUAAAUUUUCUUUUGGGCUGUCGGUUUGGCCCAACAAAAGCUUUCAAGCCUACCUCGGCCUUGAUGGGCUCUCGUCUUCUCUUC
rnacentral:sRNA from 1 species